rnacentral:rRNA from 1 species
AACGUAGGACACAAGCGUUAUCCGGAAUUACUGGGCGUAAAGGGCGUGCAGGCGGUUGCGUAAGUUUGGCGUGAAAGACUUCGGCUAAACCGGGGGAGGUCGUCUGAUACUGCGCAACCAGAGUAUGGUAGAGGCGUGUAGAAUUCCGGGUGUAGUGGUGAAAUGCGUAGAGAUCCGGAGGAAUACCAGUGGCGAAGGCGGCACGCUGGGCCAUUACUGACGCUAAGACGCGAAAGCAUGGGUAGCGAACGGG